rnacentral:rRNA from 1 species
CACAAGCGGUGGAGCAUGUUGGUUUAAUUCGAUGAUACGCGAAGAACCUUACCGGGGUUUGACAUGCAGGUGAUCGCGUUGAAGACGGUUUCCUCUUCGGAGGCACCUGCACAGGUGCUGCAUGGCUGUCGUCAGCUCGUGUCGUGAGAUGUCCGGUUAAGUCCGGUAACGAGCGCAACCCUCGCUAUGUGUUAUAUGUGUCACACGGGACUGCCGGUAUCAAGCCGGAGGAAGGUGGGGAUGACGUCAAGUCAGCAUGGCCUUUAUGUCUGGGGCUACACACACGCUACAAUGGCCAGUACAAUAGGUUGCAAGACCGCGAGGUGGAGCCAAUCCUUAAAGCUGGUCUCAGUUCGGAUUGCAGGCUGCAACUCGCCUGCAUGAAGUCGGAGUUGCUAGUAACCGCGCGUCAGCUAUAGUGCGGUGAAUACGUUCCCGGGCCUU